CAAAAACCAGCCAUGAAGUCCUUCCUUUAGUUAAAAGGUGAAAGUUCUCAAGAAAAAAAAAAGUAUGCUGAGAUUGCUAAGAUCUACAGGUCACACAAGGUCUUAAGACACAGGAGUCCCUGUGUCUGAACGUAAUCACUGUGUAUGCGUCUCAGCCUAAUGAGGAGGUGACUAUCAUGAAGGUCUGGUGGUGAAGAUCUUGCAAGAAGGUGCCUUGUUUGAGAUCUUUCAAGGAAACACAGUACUCAAUAAAUGUGGUUCGGUGUACAGUUGAGCCUUGAGCAACAUGGAUUUGAACUGCAUGGGGCCACUUAAAUGUGCAUUUUCUUAUGACUCCGCUGCUCUUGAGACAGCAAGAUCAAGCCCCCUCCUCCUCAGCCAACUCAACGUGAAGACAAUGAAGAUCAAGAUCUUUAAGAUGAUCCACUUCCACUUAAUGAAUAAUAAAUAUAUUUUGUCGUUAUGAUUUUCCUAA